rnacentral:rRNA from 1 species
GGGUCUUGGGAUAUUUGGGGUUAAGCAUCCUUGGGUUUAAAUAGUACUGGGCUGGGUGACCUCCCGGGAAGUUCAAACCCAGGAGCUU